UGUUUGUUCAAAUGCCAGCAGCUGAGUGAAGACUGUUGGAGGGGAGAGUUGAAGCCAGCUGGCUGGAGUGGCCUUUGAAGAGCACUUACCAUAUGUACUAGUCAACACCCACUUCUGGGGACCAGUUCCUUGGAAGAAGAGCACAGAGUACGCAGGGACAUGAUAUAAUUUCAAAAUAUGAAGCUGAGUGGUGGCAGCAGCUACCCAAGCCCGGGACAUUGGAUACCUGGGGCUGUGACCACACUGCGUUCUCUUUCCGGAGAAGUUGUGGGUCACUUGCCAGGGACGUGUUCCAAAGCAUUUUUACUUUCCGAAUCAUGCUGCAGGUUUUUGUGUGUGUUUGUCUGUGCACAUAUACAGCACAACAGCAUUUGCAAGCAACUCAGGAAACAUUGCAACAGGGUUGGACAGACUUUUCUCAGGAUUAAAUAUGAACUCUCUUAAGAGGGUCUGGUUACUCAUUUGCAGGCUGAGAUGUCUACCUCCAUGGGAUUCCCACUUGAAACAGUUCCUCUGGGAGAUACCUAACAGUGGCUCAACUGACAGGUUCAACCCCUCAUUGGUUUGACUCACCAGCCUACAAGUAGUAAAAUAAGGUGAAAAACCAAA